rnacentral:misc_RNA from 1 species
UUCACUGCAAGUGAAGCAAUAGUUAGUACACGUUGUGUUUUCCCUUUUAAGUCUGUCCCUUGCAGAAUGCAUUUGCGUGCUGUGAGACCCCAGAAAUAAACUCAUUCCCAUUUUUGGCCCUCAGGUUUUAUGAGAAAUGCAAAUUGAAGCUAUUAUGUAUGAAUUAUUGCUUACCCGGAAGACCACCCGAAUGCUCCCCUUCCAGAAUGCUGUAAUGACUGUUACUGUACCUAAAAAGAGUGACAAACGCAAAUUCUAAUGGCAUGUUUGUUUGUAAGUCUUGGAAAUUCUGCAAAAUGGUUAUGCUUGUUUUGAAACAUUUAUAAGAGAAGAGAAGUUGUGCUACUCUUUUUAUGGUUA